UACGAAGGGGGCUAGCGUUGCUCGGAAUCACUGGGCGUAAAGGGUGCGUAGGCGGGUCUUUAAGUCAGGGGGGAAAUCCUGGAGCUCAACUCCAGAACUGCCUUUGAUACUGAAGAUCUUGAGUUCGGGAGAGGUGAGUGGAACUGCGAGUGUAGAGGUGAAAUUCGUAGAUAUCGAGAGGAACACCGGUGGCGAAGGCGGCCAACUGGACGAAUACUGACGCUGAGACUCGAAAGCGUGGGGAGCAAACAGG
rnacentral:rRNA from 1 species